rnacentral:lncRNA from 1 species
GCAAGACGGAUGCAGGAGAGCUCUGGUAGUCAAGACCUCCAUGUCGCCACAGCUAGACCUCAUCAGCUACCAUGCAGAUUUGGUUGCUUGAGAAAGCUCCACAAGACCCCAAAUUCCCUGGGCUGUUAUUAGGAAUGGUCGAGUCAGAAUUGUACCCCGUCUGAUUCUUCCUGAUCACUCUCGGUUUAGCCAGGAUCAAUCCCUCUGCCAGGGGCACGCUUAUUCAUUCAUUCAAUCGUAUUUAUUGAGCGCUUACUGUGGGCAAAGCACUGUACCGAGUGCUUGGGAGAGUCUCACCCGCCUCGGGGAAACCGUGCUGGGAAAAAAUUAACUGACCCUCCCAGCUAAUAAGAAGCAGCGUGGCUUAGCGGAAAGAGCCCGGCCUUGGGAGUCGGAGGUCAGGGGUUCUAAUCCCGGCUCCGCCGCUUGUCAGCUGUGUGACCUUGGGCAAGUCACUUAACUCCUCCGUGCCUCAGUUAUCUCAUCUGUAAAAUGGAGAUGAAGACUGUGAGCCCUAAGUGGGACAACCUGAUUCCCUUGUAUCUACCCCAGCGCUUAGAACAGUGCUUGGCACAUAGUAAGCGCUUAUCAAAUGCCAACAUUAUUAUUAUUAUUAUUAAUAACGAAUGGUGAUAUACAUUUUUUUUUUUUACAACUUUUGACUCGGUCUGUCAAACACACCAGAGAAUUACAGAGGAUGAAAACCACCCCCAAUCUCUCUGCCGGCUCCAGCUUAGGGAAGAAGCUUCGCUCCCCAUCUGUGUGUCACAGAAAUAGAGGCUGCACCCCGUGGAGCUGCCUCGUACCGUUGCUGCCGUUAUCUCUGAUGCGACCCACCAGGCAGAAGCCGUGCUCCAAACAGAUGCCCCGGCGAUAUAUUCUGGUU